rnacentral:rRNA from 1 species
ACGCGUGGGAAGCUACCCUGUAGUACGGAAUAGCCUAGGGAAACUUAGAGUAAUACCGUAUACGCCCUUAGGGGGAAAGAUUUAUUGCUAUAGGAUGUGCCCGCGUUAGAUUAGCUAGUUGGUGAGGUAAUGGCUCACCAAGGCAACGAUCUAUAGCUGGUUUGAGAGGAUGAUCAGCCACACUGGGACUGAGACACGGCCCAGACUUCUACGGAAGGCAGCAGUGAGGAAUAUUGCACAAUGGGCGAAAGCCUGAUGCGGCUAUGCCGCGUGAGUGAUGAAGGCUUUAGGGUUGUAAAACUCUUUCACCGGUGAAGAUAAUGACGGGUAGCCGGGAGAAGAAGUCCCGGCUAACUCCGUGCCAGCCGCAGCGGG